UCUUCCCUUUGGUGAGGAAUAACACGAGGAAACUUGUGCUAAUACCUCAUAAGUCUUUACAGAGAAAGCUUUAUGCGCCGAAGGAUGAGCCUGCACUUGAUUAGUUUGUUGGUGGGGUAAUGGCCUACCAAGACUUUGAUCAAUAGCUGAUCUGAGAGGAUGAUCAGCCACAUUGGGACUGAGACACGGCCCAAACUCCUACGGGAGGCAGCAGUAGGGAAUAUUGCACAAUGGAGGAAACUCUGAUGCAGCGAUGCCGCGUGAGUGAAGAAGGCCUUUGGGUUGUAAAGCUCUUUCGUCGGGGAAGAAAAUGACUGUACCCGAAUAAGAAGGUCCGGCUAACUUCGUGCCAGCAGCCGCGGUAAUACGAAGGGACCUAGCGUAGUUCGGAAUUACUGGGCUUAAAGAGUUCGUAGGUGGUUAAAAAAGUUGGUGGUGAAAUCCCAGAGCUUAACUCUGGAACUGCCAUCAAAACUUUUUAGCUAGAGUAUGAUAGAGGAAAGCAGAAUUUCUAGUGUAGAGGUGAAAUUCGUAGAUAUUAGAAAGAAUACCAAUUGCGAAGGCAGCUUUCUGGAUCAUUACUGACACUGAGGAACGAAAGCAUGGGUAGCGAAGAGGAUUAGAUACCCUCGUAGUCCAUGCCGUAAACGAUGUGUGUUAGACGUUGGAAAUUUAUUUUCAGUGUCGCAGCGAAAGCAUUAAACACACCGCCUGGGGAG
rnacentral:rRNA from 1 species